UGAAGUUCGUCCUCGAUCUUCUCUGCUUGCCGUUUCCGUUCCCGCUGUUGCGGCAAUUGGAACCUGAACAAAUUUUAAACGGUGACUCAGACACCCAGCGACAAAUAGCGUGUCAUUUCUUCCGGACUGGUCGACAUCAACAUAAAUUCCGGUCUUUUACGAGGAUCUUAUUCAAAUCACGCGUCGCGACUUUUCAAUUAGUUGACAUUAGAGAAACGUCGCCGAGAAAAUUUAUGUCGCUCCGCGGACCUCCUUGGCGAAAAUUGGGAGAGAUCAAACGGAAACGACUGAAGAAACUACGUAUCUUCAAGUUUAUCACGGAACCGAUCUUAAAAACUUCCGGAGGAGACGGUCGUCGCAGUGCAAACGAGCCGCAAGCACCGCCGCGAGUUAAAGAGACGCCUGGAUAAUUAACGGGCAUACGAUUUAAUUAAUGGCCGCUUAAUGCAAAGUAACUGCAGUACAACUCUUGGAGGUGUUGCCGAUGGGAACUCGAGAAGAUCCGAGCACGUUACUUUCGGAGAACGUGAGGGGGCACGGAGGGUGGAUUAAGCGUCUCGCGUAAGAGCCCUUGACGAAGGGGAUGUGAUUUAUAUAAUUUAGCAAAGUGGUACCUUCGGGUGUGGUUCACCGUUUGAGACGAAAUGUAAACAAGCUUUGUUCUAUCAACGAUCCUCGGGACUUCUUUAGGAACGUAGGUGCGAAACUCGUGGUUCGAUGCCGAGGAUUGUGCCGUGGAUUGUGCCCAGGCGGGAAUGCAACUCUAGAAAGAUAAAGGGAGAAAGUGGCCGUGGAACCCUAGUGGAAAACCCGAAGCAAUCACACUCGGACACGAGGGGCCGCUAAUUCGAUUACUAAGAGCGCUGCCCUCUUGGCCUGAUCCAGUCAAACCACCCUCGCCACCCCUUCGUGGACCACCCUCGGACUCGGUGAUCGUCGCUGGUCCCUGUACUUUUUCCCCCCUCGCGAAACGGGUCGAGAUAUCGUAGCCAUUAGGCGUAUAAAAGCGGCCGAGACAACCCUGCUUAAUCCCCUGGCAGUUUGUCGCGUAUGCUGUAACUGCAUAUGGCACGCAGUCGGGCUCCCGAGUAACUAGGUCUAUGCUGCAAGCUUAGAAGCAAGGAUUAAAAAUCCUCAUCCAUUUAGGAGGACAUGCAGACUACACCAAUGCGCGUAAUAAUAACCUUUAACGAUAAACUACCACGGCUGGUAAUAAAAUCACCCUUACAAACUUUUUUAUACAGUUCUUAUACGCAACAUAUGAAUUAUAUACAAUUGUUUCAUUCGUCAUUCAAUUUUACGUGAGAUAUUUUUGUAUCUAAUUUUAGAAAGUGUUUUUAAGACUAAUAAUUUUUGUUUCAUUUAAAGAUUUAACGUCGCAUCAACAUCCUAGGUUA